rnacentral:misc_RNA from 1 species
AAAUGCGAUAAGUAAUGUGAAUUGCAGAAUUCCGUGAAUCAUCGAAUCUUUGAACGCACAUUGCGCCCCCUGGCAUUCCGGGGGGCAUGCCUGUCCGAGCGUCAUUUCUGCCCUCAAGCGCGGCUUGUGUGUUGGGUGUGGUCCCCCCGGUGUUGGGGGGACCUGCCCGAAAGGCAGCGGCGACGUCCCGUCUAGGUCCUCGAGCGUAUGGGGCUUUGUCACCCGCUCGGGAGGGGCCUGCGGGCGUUGGCCACCCACGAUAUUUUUUUACCGUUGACCUCGGAUCAGGUAGGAGUUACCCGCUGAACUUAAGC